GUCCUUUGAAACUUGACAAAUUUUGUACCAAGGAGAUUUUAGACAUUCUCCAAUUGUAAAGAUUAGGGGAAAACUAUGAACUCUUCCUUCCUUAGUAUCUUUUCAGUUCUAAUUUGGAGAGUUUGCCCUGAUAGGCUAAUACGAAGUCUGGCUUGAGAAGCAGCAGCAAUUUAUAGUUCAGCUGAAGUGAGUCCUUGUAAUAUUGACAGGCGCGGUGCAGCACUAAUCCAUGGGAAUUCCUGCGACAUGGCAAACAAUACACUUUCCGAGACGGGUUUGAAUUAUGAAUCCAGUGGUGGGCGGUCUCCGAGCCCCGUGCAGAAUAGCUUUGGUGUGAGUUGAUGGAGCAUUUUGUACCUGGGAUUCAGAACUUUUAUGAAGGCCAAUACCCUGAAACUCAUUCAAGCAAUAAAUUCACUUGUCUUUGAGUUUACAAGGCAAUAAACAGUGAAGGCCUUUGACCUUAACAUUUACUGAAUACAUUCGCAGCAGUUGUGUUUAUUGACAACUAUUUAUAGGGAAGUGUUUGGUACUGAAUUUCCUAAAGGGAGGUAGGGGGCAAUUUUGUAUUUUUUUUUAAAAUAAAAAUUCUGAAUUUAAUUUUCAGGUAUUUGACAAACUUUCAGUUUUGGAGUUUACCUUUCUAACUAUGUGCAAAUUGUGCUUUGGGUGUGUCUUUCCAUGGGGUAAAGCUGAAGUUAGAUUAGAUACAGUCAAAGAAGACUCGUAGGGAGGGAAAUGACACUGGAGUAAUGUUUGCCCAUGCAGUCAAUCAGUGCUCUGUGCUUUGCAAGCAGGAGAGAAGAAGAUGGGAAGGAGAUCGGAAGGAUUUUUCUCCUUUCUAGAUUCAUCGUAGGUCAUGGAUUGAAUUGCUUCUCCUCUGUGUGGACGUCCAGUCACAAGGAAGGCAAGAUUGUUUUUAAGAUUCAGCUGAUGUCACGCUAACUUUGGAACAGCGUCUUAAAAAACGGGAAGCUUUAUUCCCUGAAAAAAAAUAGGAAUUCCCUGAAACAACCAGAAACUUCCCAGAAAGCCGGUGUACCCAGCCUUGUGUCGGAAACAAACAAACACAAUCCACAGGCUGCAGAAACCUGCUUGUUAAGUGGCGAAGGGAAAUGUCCUCAGCCAGACAGCUGAAACGCAGGAAUGUCGCUCUGGAGAUCAGAUCCACGAUCGGAAGCAGAGAAGAGGCCGAUAAGGCUAUGAAGAAAGCGGCGUCAGUCACCAAAACUGGUUUCCGAGGUAAAGUGAGGAGGGCCAGGAGGCUUGUGAUAGGAUCGCAUUGUGCUGCCCAGUCCUGGCACACACCGCAGGCACUGCUGAACUACUGCAGCCUGCAUGCGAGCAAAGCCUACCACAUCGGCCUUGGGUGCGAGGGGAAGCGUUAAUGUGGUGAAGUCCUCCGGGGAAGUCGCCUUCCUCCUUCCCCAAACAGGGCACUCAGUCUGUGGUCAGUGUCCUUGAGCCACACCUCAGGUAACUCAGACCCAUAUCGUGAGCCCUAGGUUGUCUCCAUAGGUCACAGUGAGAUCUUUUUUGUGAGAUGGAGCUGUUACGUGGUAUUGUUACCCUUCCAUCAAAGGUAGCCGACUUCAUCUAGCAUCAAAAUAAAAUCAGCCUCGUGCUUCUCUUUUUUC